GUUAGGAAUGUCUUAGAGCAACGUUAGGUGCAGAUUAACCAUUGGCUAUUUCAUUUCCUCAACCACUAGAGGCAAAAGGUCUUUCUCAGAAGUUGAUUUGCUUUGACCUCAGUUUCGAAUAUUUUCCAGUUUGCUACAAAAGAAAGCAUUUGUUUCUUUCUGGAUAACUCUUCCCAGGGUCAUUUUUCAUGGACAGUUUGAAUCUAUAGGAAAGCGUGCAGUAUCAAAAGGCUCCUCAGUCCCAAGAUUUCACAGAUCAAGCAAAUGGGAAAGCAAGUUUUAUAUGAAACAUGUAUCCAUUUAUCCAUUUUCAAA